GAUGAACGCUGGCGGCGUGCCUAAUACAUGCAAGUCGAGCGAACAGACGAGGAGCUUGCUCCUCUGACGUUAGCGGAGGACGGGUGUGUAACACGUGGAUAACCUACCUAUAAGACUGGGAUAACUUCGGGAAACCGGCGAUAAUACCGGAUAAUAUAUUGAACCGCAUGGUUCGAUAGUGAAAGACGGCUUUGCUGUCACUUAUCGAUGGAUAUGCGCCGGAUUAGCUGGUUGGGAAGGUCACGGCUUACCAAGGCAACGAUGCGUAGCCGACCUGCGUGGGGGGUAGGCCACACUGGAACGUGGACGCGGUCCAGACUCCUACGGGAGGCAGCAGAAUGGUACCGGCCGCAACGGGCGAAAGCUUUACGGAGCAACGCCGCGUGAGUGAUGAAGAUCUUCGGAGCGUAAAACUCGGUUAUGAGGGAAGAACAAAUGUGUAAGGAACUGUGCACUUCUUGACGGUACCUAGUCAGAAAGCCACGGCUAACUACGUG
rnacentral:rRNA from 1 species